UGAGCAACCUGCCCUUGACUCUGGAAUAACAGUUGGAAACAGCUGCUAAUACCGGAUAUGACUCUGUGCGACAUCGCACGGAGUGGAAAGCCCUGGCGGUCAAGGAUGGGCUCGCGGCCUAUCAGCUUGUUGGUGAGGUAACGGCUCACCAAGGCUUCGACGGGUAGCCGGCCUGAGAGGGCGACCGGCCACACUGGGACUGAGAUACGGCCCAGACUCCUAGGAG
rnacentral:rRNA from 1 species